rnacentral:lncRNA from 1 species
AUAUUUUGGGUAGUAGAAGCAGUAGUUACAAGGGUAGUGGUGUCUUUUGUGGUGGUGGUGGCACCUGCUGCAGUUGUUCAUAUUUGGGGUGCAGGAGUAGGGAGGGUAGGAUCAGUUGGAGAAUUUACAGGGAAAAAUGGAGGUCCAGGUGGAUAGGGUCUUGGUCGGGAAGGAGGCUGUGGAUAACCUGGGGCAUCAGGAUGGAGUGGUGGACCUUAGGGUUGAGGAGGGGGUGGUGGAACAAAUCCUGGGCCAAAAGGUUGAGGAGGAGCCAGCGGUCCAGGUGGAUAGGGUCUUGGUUGGGAAGGUGGCUGUGGAUAACCUGGGCCAUAAGGAG